rnacentral:lncRNA from 1 species
CAGGUGUGUCCCAGGUGAGGCCCGUGGGCGUGUCCCAGGUGAGGGGCGUGUCCCAGGUGAGGCCCGUGUCCGGGGCGCGUCCGCUCAGGUGUGCCGGGGGGGCGUGUCCCUGGCCCAGCCCCGCCCCGCAGCGGGCGCAGCCCCGCCCCGGCCCCGCCUUCCUCCUCCUCCUCCUCCUCCCGCCGCCGCCCGGCUCCUCCCCGUGGGCGUGGCGGUGCUUGAGGAAGGCGGAGCUGUAGCUGAAGCCCCGCCCACACUCCGCACAGGUGAAGCGCCGGCGGCUCAGGUGCGCGCCCCGCCCGCGGCCCCGCCCGCGCUGGCCACGCCCCCUGCCCGAG